rnacentral:lncRNA from 1 species
AAGUUGCAUCGGGAGGCUGGACCUCUCUAUAGACAUGAGAUGUUGUAGGAUAAAGGUGGGGUUGGGCACCAAUAACUGUUAGGUGAGGACCCAAUGACGACUUUAUUCCUACGGUUAUACGGUGGGUCUGACUUAACUAAGAAAUGGGACCAAUAACUGUUAGGUGAGGUCUUCAUGGCUUAGAGACCAAGUUGCACUGCAACAUGCUUGAGAAGCAUUGUACAAGAGUUAUACACUCAUCCAUCUAUGUGUCACCAAUAACUGUUAGGUGAGGUGGCAUGUAGAUUGGUGAGACCGCAGUACCUACUAGAAACCCUAGUCGCGUAGGAUUUCCGUUUUCCUACCAGGGGAGUGUGAGGAAUUCGAAAAAAUAGUGGGAGUUACAUUUGUUCUAAAAGAUCUUAGAACAGAUUAGGAUCAUGUACAAAAGUCUAACUAGAAUCUUUACUCUCUGCAGAUACAAUGUCAGCUUCAAACUCUUUGACCCGUAUUCUUGAGACCAACCGACUGACCGGA